rnacentral:rRNA from 1 species
UACGGAGGGAGCUAGCGUUGUUCGGAAUUACUGGGCGUAAAGCGCGCGUAGGCGGCUUUGUAAGUCAGAGGUGAAAUCCCGGGGCUCAACUCCGGAACUGCCUUUGAGACUGCAUCGCUUGAAUCCGGGAGAGGUGAGUGGAAUUCCGAGUGUAGAGGUGAAAUUCGUAGAUAUUCGGAAGAACACCAGUGGCGAAGGCGGCUCACUGGACCGGUAUUGACGCUGAUGUGCGAAAGCGUGGGGAG